GACGAACGCUGGCGGCGUGCCUAAUACAUGCAAGUCGAGCGGACUUAAAAAGCUUGCUUUUUAAGUUAGCGGCGGACGGGUGAGUAACACGUGGGCAACCUGCCUGUAAGACUGGGAUAACUUCGGGAAACCGGAGCUAAUACCGGAUAAUCCUUUUCUACUCAUGUAGAAAAGCUGAAAGACGGUUUACGCUGUCACUUACAGAUGGGCCCGCGGCGCAUUAGCUAGUUGGUGAGGUAACGGCUCACCAAGGCGACGAUGCGUAGCCGACCUGAGAGGGUGAUCGGCCACACUGGGACUGAGACACGGCCCAGACUCCUACGGGAGGCAGCAGUAGGGAAUCUUCCGCAAUGGACGAAAGUCUGACGGAGCAACGCCGCGUGAGUGAUGAAGGUUUUCGGAUCGUGAAACUCUGCUGUUAGGGAAGAACAAGUACGAGAGUAACUGCUCGUACCUUGACGGUACCUAACCAGAAAGCCACGGCUAACUACGUG
rnacentral:rRNA from 1 species